CGCGGCCUAUCAGCUUGUUGGUGAGGUAAUGGCUCACCAAGGCGACGACGGGUAGCCGGCCUGAGAGGGUGACCGGCCACACUGGGACUGAGACACGGCCCAGACUCCUACGGGAGGCAGCAGUGGGGAAUAUUGCACAAUGGGCGCAAGCCUGAUGCAGCGACGCCGCGUGAGGGAUGACGGCCUUCGGGUUGUAAACCUCUUUCAGCAGGGAAGAAGCGAGAGUGACGGUACCUGCAGAAGAAGCGCCGGCUAACUACGUGCCAGCAGCCGCGGUAAUACGUAGGGCGCAAGCGUUGUCCGGAAUUAUUGGGCGUAAAGAGCUCGUAGGCGGUUUGUCGCGUCUGCUGUGAAAGCCCGGGGCUCAACCCCGGGUCUGCAGUGGGUACGGGCAGACUAGAGUGCAGUAGGGGAGACUGGAAUUCCUGGUGUAGCGGUGAAAUGCGCAGAUAUCAGGAGGAACACCGGUGGCGAAGGCGGGUCUCUGGGCCGAUACUGACGCUGAGGAGCGAAAGCGUGGGGAGCGAACAGGAUUAGAUACCCUGGUAGUCCACGCUGUAAACGUUGGGCGCUAGGUGUGGGGGACCUCUCCGGUUCUCUGUGCCGCAGCUAACGCAUUAAGCGCCCCGCCUGGGGAGUACGG
rnacentral:rRNA from 1 species